rnacentral:rRNA from 1 species
GACGAACGCUGGCGGCGUGCUUAAUACAUGCAAGUCGAACGGAAAGGCCCUGCUCUUGCGGGGUGCUCGAUUGCCGAACGGGUGAGUAACACGUGAGUAACCUGCCCCUGUCUUUGGGAUAUCUCCAGGAAAAUCGGGCUAAUACCGGAUAGGAGCUCCUGCUGCACGGUGGGGGAUGGAAAGUUUCGGCGGUUGGGGAUGGACUGGCUGCUUAUCAGCUUGUUGGUGGGGUUGGGGCUUACCAGGGCUUUGACGGGUAGCCGGCCUGGGAGGGUGACCGGCCACAUUGGGACUGAGGUACGGAGCAGUCGGCUACGUGAGGCAGCAGUGGGGAAUAUUGCACAAUGGGCGGGAGCGUGAGGCAGCAGCGCCGCGUGCGGGAUGACGGGCUUCGAGUUGUAAACCGCUUUCUCCUGAGACGAGGCGUGAGUGACGGUAAUGAGUAAAGAAGCACCGGCUAACUACGUG